rnacentral:lncRNA from 1 species
AGCAUGAAAAUCGUGAUAUAUAUAUAUAUAUAUGGUUAGACAGUCGGAAACGUAACGGCCUUAGCCGAUUUGCAGAAAGGGAAAAGAGGACAGCGGAAUUUGCAAAAUCAGAUGGGUCAUAUGGGACAUAAACUCUAUUAAAACACGCUUUACGCCACAAUUUCCUGUACAUAUUUCACAUCUCCCCCUUAAUUCCCGCAGUAAUUCCCGGAGCCCGUUUAGUUAUCUUUCUUUACAUAACCCACCGCCGGCACUAAUCUCCGGUUACUCUCGUGGUGGUAUGGGGUAGUAGUUCCUUCGAAUUAAGCAGUUUUGCAUACUGUUCUCGAUACUCUGUUUCAUACUCUUUGUCUCCGAUUGCGCUUGGUUUGGGGGAGGGAGGUGUGGUUUAAUCGGUCCAACUCGGUCGCCCGCCAGGUGAGUCAACUCGGAGCUUAUAUUUCUUCACCAGCACUGAUCGGUCUCCCAGCUCCGCCCGCUGUAUCCGGACAAUCCGGCGGUGGUGAGCGGCUGCAUCCGCCUGAAGAGCUGCUUCCGAUCGUAAACGACGCGCCUCUCGGGAUCGGAGAGAGUGGUGUAGGCGGCGUGGAUCCUCAUGAACUCGUCAGCGGAGUUGUCUUUGCGAUCGAUCGCAGCCACAUCUGGAUGGCAAGUCCUCGCGAGCUUCCUGUAGGCCGAUUUGAUCUCCUGGCUGGAGGCGCCGUUCGGAAUCCCUAGGAUCUCGUAAAGAGAGGAUGAGGAGGGCAUCUUAGGAGGAGGCAUGGAGACCCUGGGUCUCUCCCUGUACGCGGUCGCCGAAUUGUAGAUCGGAGGUGGCCCAGAUUGGGAGCGGCGGCCGGAA